rnacentral:rRNA from 1 species
UACGUAGGGACCAAGCGUUGUUCGGAUUUACUGGGCGUAAAGGGCGCGUAGGCGGCUUAACAAGUCACUUGUAAAAUCUCCGGGCUUAACUCGGAACGGCCAAGUGAAACUGUCAAGCUAGAGUGCAGAAGGGGCAAUCGGAAUUCUUGGUGUAGCGGUGAAAUGCGUAGAUAUCAAGAGGAACACCUGAGGUGAAGACGGGUUGCUGGGCUGACACUGACGCUGAGGCGCGAAAGCCAGGGGAGCAAACGGG